rnacentral:rRNA from 1 species
UACGGAGGGUGCAAGCGUUAUCCGGAUUCACUGGGUUUAAAGGGUGCGUAGGUGGGCAGGUAAGUCAGUGGUGAAAUCUCCGGGCUUAACCCGGAAACUGCCAUUGAUACUAUCUGUCUUGAAUACCGUGGAGGUGAGCGGAAUAUGUCAUGUAGCGGUGAAAAUGCUUAGAUAUGACAUAGAACACCAAUUGCGAAGGCAGCUCACUACGCGAAUAUUGACACUGAGGCACGAAAAGCGUGGGGGAUCAAACAGG